GAUGAACGCUGGCGGCGUGCCUAAUACAUGCAAGUCGAGCGAACGGACGAGGAGCUUGCUCCUCUGACGUUAGCGGCGGACGGGUGAGUAACACGUGGAUAACCUACCUAUAAGACUGGGAUAACUUCGGGAAACCGGAGCUAAUACCGGAUAAUAUAUUGAACCGCAUGGUUCAAUAGUGAAAGACGGUUUUGCUGUCACUUAUAGAUGGAUCCGCGCCGCAUUAGCUAGUUGGUAAGGUAACGGCUUACCAAGGCAACGAUGCGUAGCCGACCUGAGAGGGUGAUCGGCCACACUGGAACUGAGACACGGUCCAGACUCCUACGGGAGGCAGCAGUAGGGAAUCUUCCGCAAUGGGCGAAAGCUUGACGGAGCAACGCCGCGUGAGUGAUGAAGGUCUUCGGAUCGUAAAACUCUGUUAUUAGGGAAGAACAAAUGUGUAAGUAACUAUGCACGUCCUGACGGUACCUAAUCAGAAAGCCACGGCUAACUACGUG
rnacentral:rRNA from 1 species